CCUACGGGGGGCAGCAGUGGGGAAUAUUGCGCACUGGGCGAAAGCCUGACGCAGCGACGCCGCGUGAGGGAUGAAGGUCUUCGGAUCGUAAACCUCUGUCAGCAGGGAAGAACGGUCCCUGUUCUAAUCAGCAGUGAAUUGACGGUACCUGCAAAGGAAGCACCGGCUAACUCCGUGCCAGCAGCCGCGUUAAUACGGAGGGUGCGAGCGUUAAUCGGAAUUACUGGGCGUAAAGGGCUCGUAGGCGGUAUGUCAAGUCAAGGGUGAAAUCCCAGCGCUCAACGGUGGAACUGCCUUUGAAACUGGGAAACUGGAGGGUGUGAGAGGGAAGGGGAAAUCCAGGUGUAGGGGUGAAAACCGGAGAUA
rnacentral:rRNA from 1 species